GUAGUCCACGCCGUAAACGAUGGAUGCUAGGCGUUGGCGAGCUUGAUCCCCACUGGCCCAGCUAACGCUUUAAGCAUCCCCCCUGGGGAGUACGGGGGCAAGAUUAAAACUCAAAGGAAUUGACGGGGGGCCCCACACACGGUGGAGCAUGUGGUUCAAUUUUCAGCAACGCGCAAAACCUUACCCCUGCUUGAGAUGUCCUCUAUGGAUUCCAGAAACGGAGUCCUUCACUUCGGGUGGGAGGAACACAGGUGCUGGGUGGCUGUCGUCUCCUCGCGUGAGGAGAUGUUGGGAUAAGUCCCGCAACGAGCGCCACCCUCCUCCUUAGUUGCCAUCAUUUGCUUGGGCACUCUAAGGGGACUGCCGGUGAUAAGCCGGAGGAAGGUGGGGAUGACGUCAAGUCCUCAUGGCCCUUACCGGCUGGGUUCCCCACGUGCUACAAGGGCAGUGACAUAGGGAUGCAUAUGGGCGACCAUUCCUAAAUCUCAAAAAUCCGUCUCAGUUCGGAUUGGGGGCUGCAACUCGACCGCUUGAAGUUGGAAUCGCUAGUAAUCGCAGAUCAGCACGCUGCGGUGAAUA
rnacentral:rRNA from 1 species